GUGGGGAAUCUUAGACAAUGGGGGAAACCCUGAUCUAGCCAUGCCGCGUGAGCGAUGAAGGCCUUAGGGUUGUAAAGCUCUUUCAGCUGGGAAGAUAAUGACGGUACCAGCAGAAGAUGCCCCGGCUAACUCCGUGCCAGCAGCCGCGGUAAUACGGAGGGGGCUAGCGUUGUUCGGAAUUACUGGGCGUAAAGCGCGCGUAGGCGGACCAGAAAGUUGGAGGUGAAAUCCCAGGGCUCAACCUUGGAACUUCCUUCAAAACUCCUGGUCUGGAGUUCGAGAGAGGUGAGUGGAAUUCCGAGUGUAGAGGUGAAAUUCGUAGAUAUUCGGAGGAACACCAGUGGCGAAGGCGGCUCACUGGCUCGAUACUGACGCUGAGGUGCGAAAGCGUGGGGAGCAAACAGGAUUAGAUACCCGGGUAGUCC
rnacentral:rRNA from 1 species